UUUUACAUCAUCGAUGUUUACCGAUAUGAUGUAAAUAAAAAAAUAAGAAGAAAUAAAAAACACCACUACAUAGGAAAAGAAAAAAAAAAAAUGGCGAAUCUAAACAUAGUUAAUCGAAACGGAACAAGAUAUCAAGAGGAAGUCGUCAUGGGCAAAACAAAGCGAUAAUAUGUUAAAAAGCUAAACGUAAUCACCCAAGCAUGGAGAAAUAGCGUCGGCUGACACAAAGAAGGGGAGAGAAAAAACGGAGCGUUACGUGGAGGGAUGAAAGAAGAAAGAGGAGGAGGAAGAGGAGGAGGAGAAGAGGAUGCUGUGGCGGAGAACAGCAAUGAGAAAUAUAGAAAAAGAUAGAGAGAGAAAAAAAGAUGAACGGAAAAUGCAUAAAGAGUCAUCGAGAGGAUAAUAUUAGUAAGUAUAAAACCGGACUAAUGACCAUAAAGGGAUCCCGAACGAACCGUUAACGCGAUUAAGAAUAUCUACAUCCUGUUCUGAAGUCGAUCUACACGCCCCUCUUCUUCGUUCAAAAGCAGAGCAGAAGGAGAGGUUAAGAGAUGAACACUAACUGAGAGAAGAGGAUGGAUGAAGCUGAGAGAACUCGAGGAUGAGAAUGAUGAGGAGGAGCAUGAAAAACUUAGAU